rnacentral:rRNA from 1 species
GUUUACAGCCAUACCACCCUGAAUAUACGAAGUCCCAUCUGAUCUCGGAAGCUAAGCAGGGUUGGGCCUGGUUAGUAAUUGGAAGGGAGAAGUUGUUGACU